AACUAAGUAUUAUAUUUACAUUACCGACCGUCCCUAGAGCAAGUGGCAAAGGGCCUGGUAGUUGAUAUUCGAUACCUAAGUUCGAAUCCUAGUUGAUUCAUAUUUUUAGCUAAGUUUAUUUCUAAAUAAAAUAAACGAAACGGAUAGCGUGCUACCUAUCUCUUUCUAAAAAAAAUAAUAAUAAUUAUAUUUACAUUCAUGUUAUUAAUUACUUUUUUGAAGUACAACAAAUCGUCUCAUAGACAAAAUAUACCGUUCUAUCAAAUCAUAAAUUCAAUAAACAAAAAUCAAACUCUUUACUUCUAAUCAUGCAUGCACGAGAGCUUUCGUAGCGAAUAAGUUAUUGUCAGAUAACUUAUUCCGAUAUCCAAACAGGACCAACCAACGUGGAUCAACCGCCCACUGUCGCUGGAACAAAUAAUCGAGAGUGUUUUUCAUAAGUUGUCUUGCACUAAUUAAUUUUAGAAGCCUAAUACCCUACCAGCAUCCAUCAACGGGCCCAUUAAUGCGCCAAUAAUUGAGAAUUUUCAAUAAUUAUUUUUUUGGAGAAGUAAGACAUUCCAAAAUAUCUUUUUCUAUAUAAUAAUGAGGCCUUUCACUUAAUCAAUCAUCCCAAUUAGUUCAACUGCUCUUCAAAUUAACCCUUCAUUAUCCCACCUUUAAAUACCUCCUCCACCUCCCCCCUCUCUCCCCCACACCUCUCCAUGUCCAAAACUAUUAUCUCUCUCCUACACUUUCUACUCUCCUCAAAUUCUCCUUAGUAUAUAUUUUUAUCAAAAUUUUCUUUUUAACAACAAAAAUAAUAAUAAUAAUAAUAAUAAUA
rnacentral:lncRNA from 1 species